rnacentral:rRNA from 1 species
CACAAGCGGAGGAGCAUGUGGUUUAAUUCGAUGAUACGCGAGGAACCUUACCUGGGCUCGAACGUAAGAUGACUGUAGGUGAAAGCUUACAUCUCUUCGGAGCAUUUUACGAGGUGCUGCAUGGUUGUCGUCAGCUCGUGCCGUGAGGUGUCGGGUUAAGUCCCAUAACGAGCGCAACCCCUACCUUUAGUUGCCAUCAGGUUAAGCUGGGGACUCUAAAGGAACUGCCUACGCAAGUAGUGAGGAAGGCGGGGAUGACGUCAAAUCAGCACGGCCCCUACGUCCAGGGCUACACACGUGCUACAAUGGCCGAUACAGAGGGCAGCUACCUGGUGACAGGAUGCAAAUCUCCAAAGUCGGUCUCAGUUCGGAUCGGAGUCUGCAACCCGACUCCGUGAAGUUGGAUUCGCUAGUAAUCGCGCAUCAGCCAUGGCGCGGUGAAUACGUUCCCGGGCCUU